CCAGCGCACAGCCCCGCCCCUUGCUGCUCACCCUGGCGAUAUUUUAUCUUGCAUGACACAGGCGUUGCUCGGCUCGAGCUGAGGUGGGGCAGCGGCCGUCCGCCUGCUGAUCGGCAGUCACAUGACCCACCAUACGUCAACGAAGGGUGUUUGAGCUGCUCAGCCGCUAUUGGUGACAGCAAAUGUCAAUCAUUGAGUAUAACCACGAGCGCAGGCAUACCUGGCGAGUGGGCGUUACCGCCCCCCAUGCAGACCCCGCCUCCCGCUCACUCCCCACACUUGCGUUCAAACUCGAACAAACUUCAGAGCAAAUGUCCCGCUUUUUUAAAAAAAUAUUUCCAGUUCCCUCCGAGGCAAGUUCAGACCGUUGGUGAAGCGGUUUCUCCACGGAUGCGUGAAGCGUCUUCUUGCUUCCGGAGCUGAUCUGCGGUGAGAGACUGAUUGAAGAAAGCCCAGAAUUGGAAGUAAACAGUAGCUGAAGACUCGGAGGCACCAACAAGUGAACCAGCCCCAGGACUCAGAGCGUCAACUAUAGAGAAACCUUCAACGUUUCCAUCAAGUCAGCCAGGGGAAAGUAUGUACUGCAGUGAGAGACAGAUAGGAAAAAAUCUCACAGCUGGAAGUCAACAGCAGCUGAAGACUCGGGAACAGCAACAAGUGAAGCAGCCCGAGAACUGAGAGAAGCAACUGGAGCGAACCCUUCUGAUCAGAGUUUCCAUCAAUUGAGAGAAAGCUUGAGCACCAGAAUCUAACACCUGUCCCUAAAAUGGCUGAAGGAGCGGGCAGGGGAGGCGUUCCAGUGAGCUCAACAGGAAAGUGCACGGGUCCGGACUCGGAGAUCACCGAGCUCCUGGCAGAUUGGAACGAUUUCAAGCUGCUGCAGUUGACGGACUUCUACCGGGACAGGCUGCAACAGGCGAUGGAAGGAGGGGUGCACGGAGUCAACUUGGCGUUAACGUACGAGAAUCAGCUCAGUAGUCGGGAACAUCGGAAAGUUACCGAGCUCGCUGAUAAGGGAGAGCGGGCGGACAGUUCCAAACUCCUCCUGAACCUGGUGACGGAGAAAGGCCCCCGGGCCCGGAGGUUGAUGUGGGAAACUUUUGUGAAAAUGCGGAAUGGGGUCCCAAAGUUGGACAAAAUACUGAAAGAAAUACAGGAAUAUGGUUGUGUUCCGUACGUACGAUCGGGCAAACUUCGCUCAAGGUUUACGGGAGGUGCCCAGUGAGCUGAAAGAUGUUCAACAGAAACACAAGGAGACUCUGCGGGCACAGAGUGAAACACUGAGAGUGAACACGAUCCUGAUGAGGGAGAAGGUGAAGGUUUUCCAGCUGGUUGACCUAUACGCUGAGCUCACGGUAAUUUCUACUGUUCUAGAUCGGAGACUUGUUGUACAUGAGCUGCGGGCAAGAGGCCUAGAACAUGAGGAGUGAAGAAAGAAACAUCUCCGGGGAGAGUUGGAAAAAAUCCGGACUGAUCAAUUGUACAAAAGCUGCUUUUCCCGGAGUAAAUCCAAAUCUGGGUGUUCAGCAGCAGUGGCCGGAGUCCCGGGGAUCGGGUAAACAACAAUGGUGCAAAAGAUUGUUUAUGACUGGGACACAGGGAAAAUAUACCAACACCUCCAGUUUGUCUUCAGUUUCAAAUUCCGGGAUUUAAACUCCAUUAAAUGCAGAAUAAACCUGAGGGAACUGAUUCUGGAUCAGUAUCCUUACUGUGGGAAUAUUCUGGGCGAGGUCUGGGAUUGCUGUUUAUAUUUGAUGGUUUGGAUGAAUUAAAGCACAGAAUCGAUUUUUCUGACAGUCGGAGAGACACAGAACCUCAGCAUAUGUGUCUAGAUCCCAAGUGGUGGUGUGAAGUGUCUGAAACUGUGUACAGUUUAAUCCAGCACAAGCUGCUCCCAGGGUGUUCAGUGCUGGUGACCACCCGUCCCACUGCGUUACAUUUAUUGGAAAAGGCGGAGAUCAGUGUCUGGGCUGAAAUCCUGGGAUUUGUUGGUGAGGAACGGAAGGAAUAUUUCCACAGUUUUUUGAAGAUCAGACGGUGGCAGCAGCUGUUUUCAAACACGUGGAGGAGAACGAGAUCCUGUACACCAUGAGCUACAACCCCUCCUACUGCUGGAUCCUCGGUCUGGCACUGGGUCCCUUCUUCACACAAAGACACAGGGACCUGCAGCAAUUCCCCAAGACCAUCACCCAACUAUAUUCCUACUAUAUUUACAACAUCCUGAAAAACCACAGCCGUGAGAUUGAAAGCCCCCUUGAUGUGUUACUGCGGGCGGGUCAGAUGGCCUUCACAGGAGUGUCCAAGAAGAAGAUUGUGUUUACAGAUAAAGAUUUGAUCAACUACAAUCUUCAGCCUUUCCAGUUCCUGUCCGGGUUCCUGGUGGAACAUUUGGAGAGAGAGGAUUGUGCCCGGAGCGUGGUGUACACAUUCCCACACCUCACCAUCCAAGAGUUUGUAGCCGCAAUCGCACAAUUCCUGACUCCAGAUUGCAGCGAUAUACUGAAACUCCUCACUGAAGCCCAGAGCAUGGAGGAUGGACGAUUCGAUAUAUUUCUUCGUUUUGUUGCUGGUCUUUCGUACCCAGUGUCAACUCGGGGGCUGGAGGAGUUUCUUGGUCCAUUACCCUAUCAAACAAUUUUCGAUUGAUUGACUGAGUGAAGGAGGAGGUGAAACGUUAGGUUGGAAACACAGUGAGUCUAACGGGUAAAAGGAGCCUCCUAAACACACUACACUACCUGUUUGAGUCUCAGAACCGUGGACUGGCUCAGACCGCACUGGGAUCUGUGGAAACACUUUCAUUCAAUGAAUUGCGACUGACCCCGAUUGACUGCGCCGUCCUGUCUCAUGUCAUUGCAUCUCAUGAUGCAAUAAAUCAUCUCAAUCUAGAGCGCUGCCACAUUCAAUGUGAAGGGCUCCAGCGGCUGGGACCCAAGCUGCACAAAUGACGGGUGUAGGGACUGGGGCGUAGUGACCUGGGAGAUUCGGGAGUGAAACUGGUGUCUGCGGCUCUGAGGGACCCGGAGUGUAAAAUACAGAAACUGCGGCUGGAGGGGAACCGUAUCACAGAUUUUGGUGCCAAGGAUAUCGCCUGCGCUCUCAGGACAAACCGCUCACUGACAGGGCUGGACCUGAGUUACAACAACCUGGGAGAUUCUGGAGUGAAACUGGUGUCAGCGGCACUGGCGGACCCGGAGUGUAAAAUACAGACACUGGGGCUGAGGGAUGUCAGUCUCACAGAUUCUGGUGCCGAGGAUCUCGACUCCGCUCUCAACACAAACCGCUUACUGACGGUUCUGGACCUGGAAUCAAACUCCCUCACAGACCGAUCUGUCCCCUUCCUCAGCCGCCUCAUCUUGACCCUACCGAGUCUGUAGCAGAUCGUGCUGUGGGGAAUCAGUUCAGUUCAGAUGGAUGGAAUCAGCUGGAGUCUCUGCAGGGAACAAGACCCGGACUGAUUGUGAAGCUGUGACCGUCCCAAUGUAAAGACAUCCCCGCCCGCGGAAUGGGAAUAGUUUUGACGGUUUCCGCCCUCCCCUUUAAAUGCGGGCGCUCCCGAUUUAAAUCCCAACGGCCAUAACGGUUCCCAGCUGGAGCAGAGCGCUUGCCUCCUCCGGCUGUGAAAUCAGGGGAAGUCCUGCUGACACGUGACCCGACCGCUUACGCAGAUAUCCGGGGCAGGAUGCCACCUAGUGGGGGCCUGUGUAAUUACAGAGACAGGAAGUUCCCAGGAGAGACUGGGACACCAGUGAUCGCAUUCAUUGUCACAUUCAGUGUCCCAGCUGGGGCUUAACCUGGGGCCCCAGCAAUGGCUUUGUUUCCUGGGGAGUUACUCACUCUGGGACACCAGUAAUGCCAUUGAGUGACACGGAGGAAAUUAGCCGGGUUAGGGACAUUUCUCUCCACGUUGCUGAGGGGGUAGGGGUGGUAAUUUUCCUCCAGACAACAUCCUGUGUAUAUAGCAGUGAUAAUUUGUAAAAUACCUCAAAAGAUAACCCUGGACCUGCAGCGUUCUCGGACACGGCCCUGAAGUGUGAUUAUGAUCAUACUGUUCUUAAUUUGAGUGAAGACAGAGAACAUACAGCAACUCCUGGUGCGGAAUGACGUUGAUAAAAGGGGCUGAUUGUUCAACCUGCCGCUCAAUGUCUCUUGUCUGUUAAUUGUCGCGAAUGGCAAUGAAGUGCAAGCAGCUUAUUUUACCCGCACCUCAGAAAGUUACUCAGUGUUUAGUUUAUAAUCGACAAAG